UAUUUUGCUGUGUUGUUUCUAUACUACAAAAGUACUAUUGUGAUAUUACAGGUCAUACAUGUAGUUUUUUUUAAUUGAUAACGGUUAUUUCAAGCAUCCUAAAAACAAUUUGAACUGUCUGAAACAGGCAGAUGUUAUUUUUUUUAUUGUGAAUCCACAAAAAUAAUGUUGUGAUGAUUCAGAGACUGAACACUAUGUAUUCUUGUUGCAAAAGAAUACGAACAGUUAAGCAGAAUCUGAAACUGUAAUGUACAGUGGCCCAGAGGUGACACAGCCCAAAAAAUUAUCCACUAUAAGAAAAAAAAGAGAACAGCC